GUUCUUCAGGAGGGAUUCCAGAACAAGGCACUCUCAUCACAGGAGAUGACAGCUCCAUGUGCAUGACGGCCCCAGAAGACCAUCUGGUAGGACAAGAUGUGGAGGUGGAACACAGUGAUAUUGAUAAUCCUGACCCUGGAGAUGAAAAGAUGGGCCAGGAGUCCAGUUUCUGGAAGGCCAAGAAUCGAAGUAGCAAGCUGCAGCCGUUUUCCAGACAAGCAGGAUGUGGGGAUGCAGAAGAAUUCAGGACUGGAGAGGCAAACUCCGUAAGCAGGGGCUGUCACGAUUCCCAUCUCCCUCUAUAAACCUCUCUCUUUUCAUGUCGUACUGUUCCAUGUUAUAUGUAACUGUUUUAAAGCUACAUACUGGACAAAAAAUGGAA
rnacentral:lncRNA from 1 species